rnacentral:rRNA from 1 species
UGGUAAGUGAUAAAUUUCCCCCUAAUACCCUCCGAAACUCGAUGUAAACAACUGCUAACAACCCUUCUAGGUGGAGUGAUUUGUCAGCUUAAUUGCGAUAACGAACGAGACCUUGACCUGCUAAAUAGCCCGAUCUGCUUUGGCAGUUCGCUGGCUUCUUAGAGGGACUAUCGGCUCAAGCCGAUGGAAGUUCGAGGCAAUAACA